CUCAGCUCUCUUGUUCGCUAAGUUCCACUCGCUCUCCCCCCGCUUUCUCCCCCCACUCGCCACCAUGAAGAUCUUCAAGGAUGUGCUGACCGGCUCCGAGGUUGUCUGCGACAAUGACUGCCCGUUCGACGUGGAGGGCGACAUCAUGUAUGUGGUGAACGGCCGCUACAUCGACGUUGGUGGCGAGGACUACGGUAUUUCUGCCAACGUGGACGAGGACGCUGCGGAGGGCGCGACGGGCGAAGUUGCGGAGGGAAAGGAGCGCGUGGUGGAUGUGGUGUACAACAACCGGUACACGGAGACAUCGUACGACAAGGCGUCGUACAUGGCGCACAUCCGCAGCUACAUGAAGCAGCUGCUGGAGAAGAUCGAGAACGAGGAGGAGAGGAAGGUGUUCCAGACGAACGCUGCAGCGUUCGUGAAGAAGGUGCUUAAGGACAUCGACGAGUACCAGUUCUUCAUCCCGGAGGGCAACGACGAGGACCCGGACAACGGCAUGAUCGUGCUGUGCCGCUGGGACGGUGAGACGCCGAGGUUCUACUUCUGGAAGGAUGGCCUGAAGGGCGAGCGCGUCUAGACGCGUCGCUGACGAUGGCUCUGCCGCGUGUGUGAACGCACUCGUCUGCACCCACACCCCGCAACACGAACCCUUCCCUUGCUCUCCCCCGGGAGAGCCGGGUGCACGCGCGCGCUUCUCCCCCCCCCUCUGUGCAUGGGUGCGCUUGCUUCAUGGGCUGUGCGACGUCGGAGGUGCUGCGCGCGCCCACGCGGGUGAUCACGUCGCCCCCCUCUCCCUCUCUCUCCGAGUUGUGAGGCCCUAUCUCGCUGUCUCCGCACACCGACGGGCAUGCUGGCGGAGGUGUCUCGCAUGCGCUCUACGUGCACCUCAGUCAUGCGGCCCCACGGCAGAGCGUGUGCACGCUUUUCGAAUUCGCCUGUUUUGUGUUUGCGCUUAAGCUUGAAAGUAAAAAAAAGAGAAAGGCGAAACGAGAUGGUGGAAGCAGCGGCGGCACACAAGAAAAGAAGGUCAGGCGUGCGGUGCAUUCGCAGGGGCUCGCAGCCACGCUGCCAGUGCUGCUGCUGCUGCUACACACGCACGCACGCACGCACUCACACACGGACGCGCGCGCCAAAGAGGAGCUCAAAAGACAGACCGAACGACGGGCGGACCGUGAAGCACGGGAGGAGGUGAGGAGAAAGGACGACCGGCAAGCGGGACGAAAUCGCCGCACGAAACGGGGCGCUGCCCAUGGCACAAACUUCGCGAAUGCGAGAAGAGGCGGACACUUGCGCGCGUCGCGGCUUCCCUUCAUGCGCUUUUGUGCGUCUCAGUGUGUGCGCGUCUACGCGUGCCAGCGGACGUGUGAUUGCCGCCACAAGCGAUAUCUGCAGACAUACGCAUGGCGCAUGCGUGUGGCGUAGCAGCACACGGCGAUAAGUAGUGUGAUUAACACAUCAAGUGAAUUAAACACCAAGAGAGGGGAGGGUGGACAGAGGCGGAAUGCCAGCGCCGACUCUCUGUCUUCUAAAAACGUGUGGCAGAGAGCAUGGUGGCGCUUAAGAAUGAAGAGGCAGGGGUGGCGAAUAGCGUAAGUCCAGUGUGAAACGGCGCGCUCUUGUGCGUGCGUGCUGCAGAGGGGUGCUCCAGGCGGAGCGCAUCCCCUCCCUCCUUCCCUGUGAAUACCCUUCCUCUCUCUCUCGCGCGCGCUCCGCAGCGCAAGUGGAUUUGUGCGCGUGUGCAUACUGCUGACGAUGGAAGCAGCGGCGUCACAAGCCUCCACUGCUUUGCAUCCAAACCACCAGACAAGAGCACGGCGACGAUGACAAUGAUAUCCACGGCCCCGCAUCCUCUUUUCCGCCUCUGCCUUUCUUUUCCUUCAUGCGUUGUCGUACGCUUGCUGACGCAAG
rnacentral:misc_RNA from 1 species